CCGACACGGGUACGUGCUGCGUGCGCCGGGGCGUCCCCGCGGUCCCCUGCAUGCGCCGGGGCGUCCCCGCGUCCCUCCGGAGCGUCACCGGGAUCCCCUGCAUGCUCCGGGGCAUCCCUGGGUCCAUCCGGGGCGUCCCCGAGGUCCCCUGCAUGCGCCGGGGCGUCCCCGGGUCCCUCCGGAGCGUCACCGGGGUCCUCCGGCUGCUCCGGAGCAUCCCUGGGUCCAUCCGGGGUGUCACCGGGUCCCCUGCAUGCGCCGGGGCGUCACCGCGUCCCUCCGGAGUGUCACCGGGGUCCUCCGGCUGCUCCGGAGCAUCCCUGGGUCCAUCCGGGGCGUCACCGGGGUCCCCUGCAUGCGCCGGGGCGUCACCGGGUCCAUCUGGGGCGUCCCUGGGUCCAUCCGGGGUGUCACCAGGGUCCCCUGGCUGCUCCAGGGCAUCACUGGGUCCAUCCGGAGUGUCACCGGGAUCCCCUGGAUGCUCCGGGGCAUCCCUGGGUCCAUCCAGGGUGUCCCUGGGUCCAUCCGGGGUGUCACCGGGGUCCCCUGGAUGUUCCAGGACAUCCCUGGGUCCAUCCGGAGCAUCCCUGAAGUUCCCCAGCUGCUCCGGAGUGUCCCUGGGUCCAUCCGGGGUGUCCCUGAGGUCCCCCAGCUGCUCCGGAGUGUCCCUGGGCCCAUCCGGGGUGUCCCUGGGUCCAUCCGGGGUGUCUGCGGGGUUGCCCGGCUGCUCUGGAGCAUCCCUGGGUCCAUCCGGAGCAUCCUUGAGGUUCCCCGGCUGCUCCGGAGUGUCCUUGGGCCCAUCUGGGGUGUCCCUGGGUCCAUCUGGGUGUCCCCGAGGUCCCCCAGCCACUCCAGGAUGUCCCCGGGUCCAUCCGGGGUGUUUCCAGACCCCUCUGUCCCUCCCAGAGCAUCCCCGGAUGCCCCUGUCCCCUCCGGAGCCCUUCUGGAUGCCCUUGUCCCCCUAAUGUGUCCUCGGGUCCCUCCACGGUGUCCCCGGGUCUCCCGGCCCCUCCAGGAUCCCUCCGGGUGCCCCUUGUCCCCCCUCGGGAUGUUCCCAGGUCCCCCGGCCCCUCUGGAGCUUUCCUGGGUGCCCCUGUCCCCCUUGGGGUUUCUGUGGGUCCCCCGUCCCCUCCGGAGCUGCUCCGGGUGCCCCUGUCCCCCCUCGGGAUGUCCCCGGGUCCCCCA
rnacentral:lncRNA from 1 species